rnacentral:rRNA from 1 species
AUGGCAGCAAGGACUAGCGUGCUGUCAACGCGGUGGAGAAACUUGCCGUGGUUACUUCCUGAUCUCAAACUUAAUGUCACUGACUUCCUUAGUGCCCCAUGUACAGGGGCUGCACACACUGAUCAAGCAAUGGCGUCUCUGACAAGAGCCACUAGCAGCUUCUUGGCUCAGCCCCGCAGGGAACACACCAUCUCAACACUAUGCCUCAAGCUUUAUCUCAUGGGCAACUACUCGCGUGACAUUGGCCUGCUAGUUAGCAAUGCCAUUGACUGCAAGAUGCUAAAAGAUUUGGAACUCUCCAUUUUAACUGAGAAGGAGGUCAAGGACUCCGAAAACGAGGUUAUGUUACGGCAAGCUCGGGAUGUGGAUGGAUUUUUCAGUGAGUACCCUAGUGUUCUUCGCUGCCUCACAAGGCUCCAUCUACAUAAUGUUCGCUUCGCCGAACGCGACAUGAAUCACCUCCUAUUUGAUUGUUGCAAGCAAUUGCUGCACCUUCGUCUGGACCACUGUGACACUAGGGACUUAUCUGUAUGGAAGAUCAAUGCGCCACAUUCGAAUCUCAGAGUUCUAGAAGUCUACUUGUCCUCAUUGAAAAGAGCUGAGGUGCUCUGCCUUCCAAAACUAGAGCGGGUCCGUUGGCAGGCUUGGUUGUUUCAUGAGGCCCCCUUGUGUUUUGGUUCUGUCCCGUCACUCAAGGAAUUGUAUCUCAAAUGUGAUGCAACUCUCUGUCACCAAGACUUUAGUUUAAGCCAGGUUCUAGAUGGUACCACAAACAUACACACUAUGACCUUAAACUUUCGAGGAGAAAAGAUCUGGAUGCAACCAGAAAGAAAACAACUCUGCACUGCAUUCAACAAGCUAAGAAAGUUGUUUAUUCAUGGUAUCUUUACAAAAUUUGAUCUGUUAUGGACAUUAAAUCUCAUCGAAGCUGCUCCAUCUGUUGAGACAUUUGAUGUUGAGAUGUUUGAACAUCCAUGCCUGGAGGGUGAUGAAGCAAGAAUAAGAUGUUUUAGUGCUCAGAGAGUGGAACCUUCAUGGAAGAUUCCUGGGUUCACGAGCUGUCAGAAGUGGCAAUUGAAAGAGUUUCAGUUUGGUGGUUUUAGGCCCCUACUGAAGCAUCACUUGUUAUUUGCAAGUACCGUGAUGGGUCGAGCUCCAGAUCUGAAGACGGUUCUUCUGACAGAUGGUCAAUAUCCAUGCAAGGGCUGUGAUGCAAUGAUCCCUAUACCUCCUCCUGUAGGGGGCUUCUUUCCAAGGGACAGGGAUACACAAGAGGCAAUAGUCAAGCAACUUAGAGAGAUCGUCCAGUCCUCAGCACAGAUAAUUUUCCGUGGUGGUUCGACACACCCCUCUCGAGCCACCUGGUCAUGUAUUUAUUAG